AUAUAAUAUUUAUAGAAAAGAAUACGUGUGUGGGCUACUGGGUAAAGCAUAUGGGAAAAUAAGCAAUCUGACGAAUUGUACUAGGGGCUAAAUUAUGUGACUAGCUUAAAGUAAAAAGAUACAGCUAUAGGUGUUCAUAUCAAUGAUUGUCGGUAAUAAGAAAAGCGCUGUCAUCUUGCAGAAAUAAUAGGCCGAUUUACCUAAACAGGAUUAUAAGUGUCAAUAUGAUACCAGCGAUCAUGUCCAAUUCCGCUCCUCAUCAUUUCACACCGGAACGCCUUGAUAUGUCACAAAACAUGGAAACUCAAAAGCCUUUUGAAUAAGUACAUUUUUAAAUGGGGGACCACGUAAUUGUAAUGGACAAAAAAGUUUUAAACUGUAACUAAAUAAAAUAUUUGUUAAUAUUUAUUUAUUUUUAGAAAAAGUAUUCUGAUGAUUAUUUUUUAAAUAAAACAUAUUUCAAUCCAAUUAAAACCA